CAAAUGCAUUGAUCGGCAAAAAUAAAGGGGGGUGCGCACCCCCGGAACCCCCCCCCCCCUGGAUCCGCCACUGAUGUAUUUAAGUCAUGCUAUAUUUCAAUUAUUCGGUUUAGUGAACAAUUAUAUUUGCUACACCACGUUUCCUUUAUUCAGUAGUUUUAUAGUCAGUUCUUUUGAAUAGGAUUUUAAUUUAAUCUCAUCCCCGGCUUUCCGCCUUUAUUGUGACUCAAUCCGUAAAUCUUUUUUUU
rnacentral:lncRNA from 1 species